GUUGUCAUUUUCUUUCUUUUCUGUUGUGUUACUGUAGUUAUUCAUGGUAUUUGAUGUGUUGUUCCUUUGCCAGCACAUUUGUGGUAGUAUCAGGUAUCAGA